AAACAACUCCAUAUGUCUUUUUAGCGCAUAAAAUAAAAAAAAAAAUUAACUUUCUCUCUUCGUCUAGGGUUAACUAGUCGACGAAAUACACUGUCGAUAGAUUCUAAAAUGGCGAUAAAGAAAAGCCCUCUUUCUCCGCCGUUGUCUCCAGCGACUUUGUGAUCGACAAACUCAGCAUGAUUCUGAAGUAGGCUAAAGUUCCUGCUUUAACUCUCGAGGAGGAUUAUGGUGAUAGAUGGAUGAGACUGAUGUGGAACAACGAUCUUUUGACGCAAAUAUUGAUCCUGUUACCUGCAAAAUCUGUUACCCGAUGCAAGUUGGUAUGCAAACAUUGGCUCUCACUCGUCUCUUCUGAGAAAUUCUGCCAUCUCCACACCCUGCACUCCCCAAAGCUGCAACCGUCUCUUCUCCUGAAUCCGAACCUGAGGAAUCCCAGCUUGCAGUUCUUUAACUUCAAUCCAAUCAUGAAUGGCGAGAAGCUGAUGAUACCUUACACCUUCUCUUUUCCAAACCCCAUCAUCAUUAGUUCUUGUAAUGGCCUGAUGCUGCUAAAAUCUCACCAUAAAGAUGAGAGUUUCCAUGUUUACAAUCCCACCACUAAGCUGUCAAGAAAGAUCAGUGUUACUGAUACUUAUAGUGACAAUAUUGUGGCGCUUGCAUUAGCUUUUGAUCCUUCGAAGUCGCCCCACUACAAGGUUGUUUGCAUUAAGUCAACCUCAGAAGAUCGUAUUCAUCCUCUUAAGGUAGAUACUUGUGCGAUCGAGGUUUAUGACUCAGAGAGUUGCGUUUGGAAGCUCAGGUUGUGGUUUGUGUUUCCUGAAAGGCUUGAAAUGUGUGGUGGAUACGGGGGUGUGUACUGUAAUGGCUCGAUAUAUUGGGAUAUUUUGGAUGCAGUUGUCUACUAUGAUAUUGCCCAGAAUGAAUUCGAAACUCUAGAUAUGCCUUUAUAUGCACCUUCUUACCGGCAACAUAUUCUACAUUUGGCUGACUCUUCCUCUCUUCUGCAAGGGGCAAAUGGUCAUCUAUACAUAUCUAGAUUGUUCACAAAGGCUAACAACUGUCAAUUGAUUCAGCUGUUUGAGUUGGAUAUGCAUGAUCGUCGUUCCUCUUCGUGGUUCUUGAGGUACGAUGAAACAAUCCCUCACCAUGAACACAUUUCUCCAUUUAAUGGCUAUAUUGAACAAUUGAGAUUCAUUAAGGGAUCAUACGGCACAGAGACGUGCAGUGUACUGUCUCAUAUGUAUGGGAAGAUCAGUGUCUAUAGUUUCCUCGACAAGAGCUAUAAGUUUCUCGUUGAUGUGACAGGCCCACCAUUCAACAUUCAGGCCAAUUAUGGGGGUCCUCAUAUGGAAAUAUAUGAGUUUAUUGAAUGUUUAGCUGUGGUUUGAGGGAUGAGAUGCAACUUAGACUACUUUGAUGAUAUUACUAUGUGACUCUAUGCUGAAGACUUUUAGUUAGGUAUUUUAAUGCAACUUAGACUACUUUGAUGAUAUUACUAUGUGGAAAGGCUUUAUGCUGAAGAAUUUUAAUUAGGUGUCUGCUAAGUAUGUCUUAAUGCUACAUUUUCUUUAUUAUCUUACGUUGUGUUUAUGAACACACUUUAUUUUCUGA